GACGAACGCUGGCGGCGUGCCUAAUACAUGCAAGUAGAACGCUGAAGGAGGAGCUUGCUUCUCUGGAUGAGUUGCGAACGGGUGAGUAACGCGUAGGUAACCUGCCUGGUAGCGGGGGAUAACUAUUGGAAACGAUAGCUAAUACCGCAUAAGAGUAGAUGUUGCAUGACAUUUGCUUAAAAGGUGCAAUUGCAUCACUACCAGAUGGACCUGCGUUGUAUUAGCUAGUUGGUGGGGUAACGGCUCACCAAGGCGACGAUACAUAGCCGACCUGAGAGGGGGAUCGGCCACACUGGGACUGGGACACGGCCCAGACUCCUACGGGGGGCAGCAGUAGGGAAUCUUCGGCAAUGGACGGAAGUCUGACCGAGCAACGCCGCGUGAGUGAAGAAGGUUUUCGGAUCGUAAAGCUCUGUUGUAAGAGAAGAAAGAGUGUGAGAGUGGAAAGUUCACACUGUGACGGUAUCUUACCAGAAAGGGACGGCUAACUACGUG
rnacentral:rRNA from 1 species